UUCCCCUAGUAACUGCGAGUGAAGCGGGAAAAGCUCAAAUUUAAAAUCUGGUAGUCUUUGGCUGCCCGAGUUGUAAUCUAGAGAAGCGACUAUCCGUGCUGGACCGUGUACAAGUCUCCUGGAAUGGAGCGUCAUAGAGGGUGAGAAUCCCGUCUUUGACACGGACUGCCAGGGCUUUGUGAUGCGCUCUCAAAGAGUCGAGUUGUUUGGGAAUGCAGCUCUAAAUGGGUGGUAAGUUCCAUCUAAAGCUAAAUAUUGGCGAGAGACCGAUAGCGAACAAGUACCGUGAGGGAAAGAUGAAAAGAACUUUGGAAAGAGAGUUAAACAGUACGUGAAAUUGUUGAAAGGGAAACGCUUAAAGUCAGUCGCAUUGGCUAGGGAUCAACCUUGCUUAUGCUCGGUGUACUUCCUGGUUGAUGGGUCAGCAUCAAUUUUGACCAGUGGAAAAAGUUCAAGGGAAUGUGGCAUCUCCGGAUGUGUUAUAGCCUUUGGUCAUAUACAUUGGUUGGGAUUGAGGAACUCAGCACGCCGCAAGGCCGGGUUUUUAACCACGUACGUGCUUAGGAUGCUGGCAUAAUGGCUUUAAUCGACCCGUCUUGAAACACGGACCAAGGAGUCUAACAUACCUGCGAGUGUUUGGGUGGAAAACCCAAGCGCGUAAUGAAAGUGAAAGUUGGGAUCUCUGUCAUGGAGAGCACCGAUGCCCGGACCAGACCUUCUGUGACGGAUCCGCGGUAGAGCAUGUAUGUUGGGACCCGAAAGAUGGUGAACUAUGCCUGAAUAGGGUGAAGCCAGAGGAAACUCUGGUGGAGGCUCGUAGCGAUUCUGACGUGCAAAUCGAUCGUCGAAUUUGGGUAUAGGGCGAAAGACUA
rnacentral:rRNA from 1 species